rnacentral:rRNA from 1 species
UGCGUAGGCGGCUUUCUAAGUUUGAUGUGAAAUCCCGGGGCUCAACCCUGGAAUUGCAUUGAAUACUGGGAGGCUAGAGUACUGGAGAGGGAACUGGAAUUUACGGUGUAGCAGUGAAAUGCGUAGAGAUCGUAAGGAAGACCAGUGGCGAAGGCGAGUUCCUGGACAGUUACUGACGCUGAGGCACGAAGGCCAGGGGAGCAAACGG